CGUUGAAGUCUUCAUGUCAGCGAUUCUUGCACCACGACCGCACCGAGAACACAUUCCCGCCGCUGGUUUGCUUGCUUUCAUCUUUCUCUUCUGGUCCACCAUGAAACAGAAACACACCAUUUUCUAUCCUUCUUCAAAUACAGAAAUCAAAGACAGUGAAUCUUGUAAUCACACCGGUUUGUGAUUAAUCGGUCCUAAAAAAGUUGUUGGUGUUUCUUGAUGAUGCAGUUAGGUUGGAGAUGUACAAAAAAACGACGUGAUAUGGCUUUAGUGAUGCACACGUGUUUGGUCUAGAAGUUAGUAAUUAAGAGUAUGCGUCGGGACAUUAUAUUAUAUAGAGAAUUGUAUGAUAUUUUAACGAUUUUUUGACAGUACACAUACGUACAACCUCCAACUCCUAACCGAAUUCAUCAUUUUAUUUUAUUAGUAGGGAGUACGCGAUUCGCGCAGAAUAUUAUUUUAUUGUUGUUACGUAUGGUUUUUGAAUGAUGUAAUUAUAUGGUCAUUAUUUAUUUGUGAAGAGCAUGAUUUAGUAUUUUAUUGUGUGAUGUAGUAUUAGGUUAUAGGUUAAUAUAUUAUGUGUUUGUCUUUUCAAUAACGUGUUGUUGUGUGUAUAGUAAUAUGUUAGACCAUCUCCAACUCAUCUCUAUAAUAGAGAUCUUCAGGAGGUCUCAAUUCACUGUUUCUCAUCAGUAAUCCAUUAUUUUGCCCAGCUAGCAAUAGACUCAUCCACAGACUUAUAGUCUUGGAUUCUGGGAUUCCUCCAAUCAAAUAGGACCUUUGGUAAUAGCACUGUUCUUUGGUGAUCAUAUCUCGAUUUUUAACUCUGUCCAAAGGUCUAGAGGAUUCUCUAUAGGCAGAUACUGAUCUUUGAGACUCUUAAUAAGAUGAUGGCUAAUAAUUAAUAUUCUUUGUAUUAAUCUUUCUCAUUUGGCAUUAUCGCCUUUUGUGAUUCAUUCACCAAGUCCUUUGACUUUAGGAUAAACUCAGUAUUCAGUGCUCAUUUCAAAUAAUUAUCUCUUGAGAGAUUUAGGGCAGCAAAAUCCAAGUUGAUUUUCGACAUCUCAAAUCAUAUAUCAAUCAAUUUUAGAUCUCACAAAAUAUUUAACAUACGGCCAUAAACAAGACAUGCUAUCAAGUCAAUACAUUUCUAAUAAGCAAACAAGCCACACGGCCAAAGGUGAUAUAAUGCAAUAAGGCCACACGGCCAAAGUGAUACAUGAUGCAUAAUAAGUCACACAGAUUUAUCAAGCAAGGGUAUCGACCAAACAAACAAUUUCUAUAUGUUUUCAUGCGGCCAUAUGGUUAUAAUGCAAACCUAGCAUACUGAUUCUAAAUGUACAGGAGUGGAAUUAUGGAACCUCAAUUUAAAACAAUCAGAUCAUGCAAAGGUGAUAAUAAUCAGAUCAUGCGCAUAACAUAAACAUGUUGGUCAGGAUGAUAUAUGAUGCAAACUGGCCACACGGCCAAGUAGAUAUGAUGCACUCAAUCUUAGCAAUCGGAUUCUAUAUGUGCAAUGGUAAUAUUAAAACAUUCAAUCAAGGUUUAGCAAUUAAUCAAUCAGUUUCAGGUAUGAGAUUUAGCUAGACUAACAAUCAGAUUCAAUUAGGUUUUAUCAAGACUAGCAAUUGGAUCAAUAAUCAAAAAUAAUCAAACGGAUUCAAGCAUUACACAAUUUAGGGUUUCGAUCCAAAAAUAGGGUUUCAAUCAUGAAAAACCAAAACAAUCAGUUUCAAGGCUGAUUCUAUCAAUUUUAUUAAUCAGUUUCAAGGCUGAUAUUUAUCAGUUUCAAGGCUGAUAUUAGCAAGAUGGAAUCAAGCAAUCUGAUUUUAGGAAUACGCAAAUUAGGGUUUAGGGUUUCAAUUCGAAAUUAGGGUUUUAUCAAUCAAUCAGCUUCUAGCAAAUAAUCUUAAACCUCAGAACAGUUGAUUAUAUCAUGAAACUAUCAACCUAGUAUAAUAUGAAACCUCAAAACAUUCAAUUCGGAUUAUGCAAUACACGGAUUCUAUUUUAGGGUUUAUCAAUUCGAAUUAGGGUUUAUAUUAUAACAGAUUCUAACAUGCAAUAUUAAACCUCAAAUCAUUCAAUCAGGUUAUAAAAACUAUCAAUCCUAACUCACACGGAUUUAAACCUCAAAGAAACAUUCAAUCAAUCAAAUAAAACAAUCCAUGCACACGUAAUUUAGGGUUUACAGAUUUUAGGGUUUCACUUUGAACAUUAGUUCAUUCGAUUCUGGGUUCUUAGAGUUUAGGUAUACCUUAAACCUUUGAUGGGUUGAAUGGACCACCAAGAGAAUGAGCUUACGUGGACUGGUACAAACUGGAACCUUUACGCAGACUGGUCCAAACUGUUUCUUUGUAGUCCGCGAGCUGAGAUCGGGUACAAGUUGAGAUCAAAAGUGAUUAGGGUUUAUCGAUAGAGAGAGAGAGAGAUCGAUGGAGAUUCAGAUAGAGAUCUAAAACUUAGCUUAGGUUGAGCUGGUCGGGAUCGUUGGUACGUGAGCUGGUACUUGCAGUCAAAGAACUCGUAGAUCUGGAACAGUUUGAUCACGGACUGGAACAGGCUGAUCGUACAAUUUGGAAUAGUUGAGGCGUACUGAAACUUGCAGAGAUCAGUCCACAGAUCGAUCUUGUUGAGAUCAGUGGUCGAAUACAGAUCAGGGUCAUGAUCAAAGAGAGGUGAUCGAUAGAGAUUAGGGUUUUAGCAAUGGAGAGAGAUUUAGGGUUUAUGGUCGAUAUUUUAGCUUAGGGUUUUAGAGAUCAAUCGUGCUGAUAACGUGUUAUAAAAGUAAUGGAAAAGUCUAUCUUUAUUCAUAACAUAGAGGUUCCUUAUAUAGGAAAUUACACCGUCGUAGAUAAAUGGAAAGAUUAUAAAUCAUAAUCUUGGUUAUGAGCCAUCCACGAUCUGGUUCAUAACAAAAUUCUCAUUUUUGAUACAAUAUUACCAUUAUACGACAAUAUAAGCCCAUUGUAAAACCCAGGCCAAACUGGAAAAGAGGGAUAUAAAAAGGGCUAUAAAAAUGGUGUAAAUAAAAUAUCAACGGUAGGAUUUAAGAACAGAGCCGCAAAAGCUGCAGACGAUGGCUCUCCAAGAUCUGCAAUAAAUAGGUAUUAGACAAAACCUCGUUGAAGUCUUCAUGUCAGCGAUUCUUGCACCACGACCGCACCGAGAACACAUUCCCGCCGCUGGUUUGCUUGCUUUCAUCUUUCUCUUCUGGUCCACCAUGAAACAGAAACACACCAUUUUCUAUCCUUCUUCAAAUACAGAAAUCAAAGACAGUGAAUCUUGUAAUCACACCGGUUUGUGAUUAAUCGGUCCUAAAAAAGUUGUUGGUGUUUCUUGAUGAUGCAGUUAGGUUGGAGAUGUACAAAAAAACGACGUGAUAUGGCUUUAGUGAUGCACACGUGUUUGGUCUAGAAGUUAGUAAUUAAGAGUAUGCGUCGGGACAUUAUAUUAUAUAGAGAAUUGUAUGAUAUUUUAACGAUUUUUUGACAGUACACAUACGUACAACCUCCAACUCCUAACCGAAUUCAUCAUUUUAUUUUAUUAGUAGGGAGUACGCGAUUCGCGCAG
rnacentral:lncRNA from 1 species